UGUUUCUAAGUUAGUGCCAGCAGUCGCGGUUAUACUAACACAGUAGAAGGUUUUAGGCUUUAUUUUAAUACUUUUAAAGGUUAGGUGAAAUUUGGUUCUUUAAACGAGGUUAAUUUUAAUGCUUGAAAAGGAUUAGAUACCCUUGUAAUUAAUUUACACUAAGUAUGACUGUGGAUUUAAAUAAUUUCAGGGGGUUUUGUAACUAUAAUAGAAAUUACUCUAUAAAUUUUACUAUUUUAUUGAAGUUUGUAUAUCGCCGUCUUUAGGUUUGGUUGCGAGACCAUUUUUCUGUUUUUAGCGGGCAUAUUUAGGUCAGGUCAAGAUACAGUUUUGAGCUAGGGGUUAUUAUAUACUUUAAUAAUUUUAACUUACGGAAUUUGUUACAAUGAGGAAAAUGGACUUGAGUGUAACUUUAUUUUCUUAGAGAGUUGGAGUGAUGAUUUGUCUGAGUACAUAUCGCCCGUCACUAUGAAGAAGUCGUAACAUAGUAGGAGUGCUGGAAAGUGUUUCUU
rnacentral:rRNA from 1 species